rnacentral:tRNA from 1 species
GCCUGGCUGGCUCAAUUGGUGGAGCAUGUGACUUGUUGAUCUUGGGGCUGUGGGUUUGAGUCCCACGGUAGAUA